CCUACUGUGUACUGCCGUUUUGACUAUUUUUCCAUUUAGUAAACUCUGCCCCCGCCCCGCCGCGUGAAGGAUGAAGGUUUUCGGAUUGUAAACUUCUGUCGCGAGGGAUGAAGAAUGACGGUACCUCGUAAGAAAGCCCCGGCAAACUACGUGCCAGCAGCCGCGGUAAUACGUAGGGGGCGAGCGUUGUCCGGAAUGACUGGGCGUAAAGGGAGUGUAGGCGGCAUAUUAAGUUAUGUGUGAAAGCCCGCGGCUCAACCGCGGAAUUGCACAUAAAACUGGUAAGCUGGAGUGCAGGAGAGGUAAGUGGAAUUCCCGGUGUAGCGGUGGAAUGCGUAGAUAUCGGGAGGAACACCAGAGGCGAAGGCGACUUACUGGACUGUAACUGACGCUGAGGCUCGAAAGCGUGGGGAGCAAACAGGAUUAGAUACCCUUGUAGUC
rnacentral:rRNA from 1 species